UACGUAGGUGACAAGCGUUGUCCGGAUUUACUGGGCGUAAAGAGCGCGCAGGCGGUCGAUCAAGUCGAGUGUGAAAGCCCCCGGCUCAACUGGGGAGGGUCAUUCGAUACUGAUCGACUCGAAGGCAGGAGAGGGUAGUGGAAUUCCCGGUGUAGUGGUGAAAUGCGUAGAUAUCGGGAGGAACACCAAUGGCGAAGGCAGCUCGCUGGGACGGUACUGACGCUGAGACGCGAAAGCGUGGGGAGCGAACAGG
rnacentral:rRNA from 1 species